UACAUACAAAUAAAUUUGGUCUG
rnacentral:siRNA from 1 species